AGGUAGAGGGCCUGUGCCGUCAUGAUCUUUGCUCGCACGUCCUCUUGGGCUACUCUGAUUACGUGUCGGUCCUAUGGCCACAGUCCAGGGCUCGGUGGGCCCUGGGGAGGGUGGGGAGGGAGUGGCCGUAAAGGGGCAACAUCUGCCCUGAGUGCUGGACGCUGCGGGGCACAGAGCACGGGCCGUGCUUCGUGCUCACAACAGCCUCGUCGGAUUGGUCCUGUUAUCACCUCCAUUUUUUGCAGAAAAGGGAUCUGAGGCUCAGAGACGUUAAUUAACCUGCCAAAGCCACACAGUGAGUAACGGGGCAUUCUAGGGUUUCAAAUCCAGGUGUCCUUCCUGGCUCCCAGCUGGGGUCCCAGGGAGCUCUCGGUUAGGUGGAAAGGACAGAGGGGCCACCUAGCAUGAAAACCCUCUGUGGCCAUUUAGGGGGUGCAGAGGCCCCCAGGUCUGCAGAGAGAUACAGGAGCAUAGGCAGAGUGAGAUCAGCGGGCCUCUGUCUCUGUCGUAGUUGCGCCCACUCGUGCAGCCCAGAAACGAUCAAGCUCAAACUUCAGAACCAAGAUCAAUGGGAAGCAGGGGGCUCUGUGACCCGGUUCCUUUUCUUGCUCGUGUAGCCGACCCGUGGUGUCCUGCAGCCAGAGUUCAGCCGGGGGUGAGGCAGGGCCCCCCCUUCGAGCAACAGAUGCAUUCCUGAUACGCUACAUGUGCAUUUUAUUUUUAUUUAUUAAUGUAUUAUUUUUAAUUUUUUGGGAUACAGUUGAUUCAUAAUGUGUUAGUUUCAGGUGUUCAGCAAAGUGAUUCAGUUAUAUUUAUAUGUAUAUCUGUUCCUUUUUCCCAUAUAGGUUAUUACGGAAUAUUGAGUAGACAUCCCUGCUAUGCAGUAGGUCCUUGCUGGUUAUCUGUCUUAUACAUAGUGUGUGUACGUUAAUCCCAAACUCCUAAUUUAUCCAUAACCCUCCCACACUUCCCCUUGGUAAACAUAAGUUUGAUUUUGAGAUCUGUGAGUCUCUUUCUCUUUUAUAAAUAAGUUUAUUUGUAUCAUUUUUUAGUCCACAUAUAAGUGAUAUCAUAUAUUUGUUUCCCAUAUGCGUUUUACUAAAUAAAUCAUAUUUCAUUUUCAAAGGAAUAUAUGUUUAGCCUUUUUUUUUUUUUUUUUUUGCUUUUAAGGGCCGCACCCUCAGCAUAUGGAGGUUCUCAGGCUAGGGGUCCAAUCGGAGCUGCAGCUGCCGGCCUACACCACAGCCACAGCAACGCGGGAUCCGAGCCUCAUCUGCGACCUACCCCACAGCUCACGGCAACACCGGAUCCUUAACCCACUGAGCAGAGCCAGGGAUCGAACCUAGAACCUCAUGGUUCCUAGUCAGAUUUGUUUCCACUGUACCACAAUGGGAACUCCAAAAGAAUAUAUAUGUUUAGAAGGAAUAUUAUGUUGACUAACUGUAAACUGGUACCGUUUUUAUCAGUAAUUCUUGGAAUGUGUGUGGUGUGUGUGUGUGUGUGUGUGGGCAGGUGUAUGUGUGUUGGGUGUGGUGUGGGGGGGUGCCGGCAGGUGUGGAGAGAGACAGAAGGGGUGGGGGAGUCCCUCUGGCCCGGCCUUCCUCCCCUCGGGCUCCUCCAGGCAGUGUCAGCAGCAGCCCAGCCCGAGGGGCAGGUCAGCCAGAUGCCGCCCUGAGAACAUCACCCCUGAGCUUCUUCUCCAGGCCAGGCCACCUGGUCUGGACCCUGCAGAGACGUUUCCAGAUCUCUCUUCUGCCCAGAGAACCCAGAGUUAGGUCUUUCUCAUUUCCUUAGACGGUUCUUGAGGGAUAAAAUGCGGACAAGCCCAAGUGAGUGUUUAUUUGAUUCGCGACGUGUUUUUAGGUGCCGGUAUUUAUGGAGGACACCUACGCGGAGGCAGAAUCGAGGGAUGUUUGAAAGUCACGGUCAUGGCGUUUGCCUUCACAUCGGGAUAGGGUCCGGCCCCGGAGACCUGGCUCAGGAGCAGAACCUGCUCCCUCCGGGGGUCCUCGUCUCAACUGCAAACGGCGCGAUUGCCCAGAACGCGCUGAAACUGCGGUCCAGUUCCUGGGACCUGUGGUCCGUUGUGUAAGGGGCACAGAGCAUGGGCGGUAGGAAGAGUGUUGAGGGGACCAAAGCCACUGAUCAGAGGUGCUGAGCUGUGUGUUGGUGAGGGUCUAGGCCAGGGGCAGACGCGGGCUGACAGCACUGGGGUGGGACCUGGGAAGGCUGGGCAGACCCCACAAUGAUCGGGGCACCUGUUGGGGAUUUCUAGGGUCAGGAUGUCUGCAUGGAGCCUAAGAGGAGCAGGAGAGGCCCUGCCAGGCAGUGAUGGGUGUGCCAGGCUGGCCUGAAUUUCUCUACAUGGGGGUCCUGGCCCCAACAUAUGUCAGCAAAGUGCUCUAGCAUCCUCAGUGGAAAUGGCAGGGUGAACAUGAAAUAUCUGAGUAACGCCUUCUGUGAUUCAUAAUUAUUUCAAGGCAAAAAAAAAUUAUUAAAAAAUGUUAAAUAUUAAAAAAAAAAAAACCCGCAAAAGAUUAAAAAACAAAAAAGCAGGAGUGCCCGUCAUGGCUCAGGGGAAAUGAAUCUGACUAGCAUCCAUGAGGACGCAGGUUCAAUCCCUGGCCUUGCUCAUUGGGUUAAAGAUCCGGCAUUGCCGUGAGCUGUGGUGAAGGUCGCAGACGCGGCUGGGAUCUGGCCUUGCUGUGGCUCUGGCGUAGGCCAAUGGCUACAGCUCCAAUUCAACCUCUAGCCUGGGAACUUCCAUAUGCCUCUGGUGUGGCCCUAAAAAAGAUCAAAACAAAACAAAACAAAACAACCCACUGAAUCCCAGGCCGGUGGCCUGUCUGCUUUGGUAUUUAUUUCUAUGUUGCCCUCUAGAAAGGGGAACAGGAAAAGGCUCCAGCCCUCCCCCGUCCCCCCACAACCCCAGGCCCCAAGGGCCCGAGCGGGGUUAGCAGACCAGGCCUCUCACGUCCGGGAACUCAGCCCUACCCCAGCCAAACUCCAUGUCCGCCCAAGCCCACAGCGCUUCCCACGGUCACAGCGUACCCCCCCCCCCCCCCCCGCCAACCAGGCAUCCUCAUGGUGCCAGGCCCUGGACAAAGGAUGCAGGGUCACAGCCUCUGCCACCCAUGCACAGGCAACACCUCAGUUUCCAUAGCUUCACUUUACAGAUGGGUAAACUGAGGCUUCCAGAGGUGUUUGUGGUGCAGCGCCACGAUUCCUACUCACAUUCACUGGAAUUGAAAGCUUAUCAUCCCGCCAUCUGCCCCCUCUUCCCUCCUGCCCGGGGCCUCGCUCCUACCCUCCAGCUGGACUCCCUCCUCUGUCCCUGUGCUGUCCCCUCCAGGCUGUGUCCUCGUUCCUCAAAGUCCUGUGCACAGAUUCAAGAAGGCUGCCCUUGCCCCCUGACGCCAAGGCCUCUGCUUGUGCCUGCACCCUGCACCCUUCUUCUCCAGGCUCUGUACCCUCUCAGCUCCUCCAGGGGGCUUUCGCUAGUGCACCCCUCCUGUGCCCCACAGCCUCUGGGGACAUCUCUGGGAAGACCUCCCUGCCAGCCAGAGCCACUUGGGAGAAGGGACUGGUGUUUCCAAAGCUGGGGGGUUCCCAAGGUUGGAAGCCCUGGAGCUGAGUCCAGUGAGCCUGUGUCAGGGACCGGCAAGAGGACAUUCUGGGAGUUCCUGCUGUGGCUCAGGGGGUUACAAACCUAACGGGUGUCCAUGAGGAUGCGGGUUCGAUCCCUGGCCUCAAUCAGUGGGUUAAAGAUCCCACAUUGCUGUGGCUGUGGCCGGCAGCUACAGCUCCGAUUUGAUCCUUAGCCUGGAAACUUCCAUAUGCCAUGAGUGCAGCCU
rnacentral:lncRNA from 1 species